rnacentral:SRP_RNA from 1 species
GCCAGGUGCGGUGGCGCAUACCUGUAGUCCCAGCUACUCGGGAGGCUGAGGUGGGAGGAUCGCUUGAGCCCAGGAGUUCUGGGCUGUAGUGCGCUGUGCUGAUCCGGUGUCCACACUAAGUUCAGCAUCAAUAUGGUGACCUCCUGGGAGCGGGGGACCACCAGGUUACCUAAGGAGGGGUGAACCGGCCCAGGCUGGAAACGGAGCAGGUCAAAACUCCCGUGCUGAUCAGCAGUGGGAUCGCGCCUAUGAAUAGCCACUGCACUCCAGCCUGGGCAACAUAGCGAGACCCUGUCUCUA